ensembl:lncRNA
GCUUCAGCAGCCUGGGGUUCACUGGUUCGGAUCCCGGGCAUGGAUGUACACGCUGCUUAUCAAGCCAUGCUGUGGCAGGCAUCCCACAUCUUGUACCGAAAAUUUCACCAUUAAGAGGGUCCUUGGGCCAGCCCCGGUGGCCUCGUGGUUAAGUUUGGCAUGCUCUGCUUUGGCUGCCUGGGUUUGGAUCCUGGGCACGGACGUACACCACUCAUCUGUUAGUGGCCAUGCUGUGGCCGUGGCUCACAUGAAAAAGAAAAAACAAUGAGGACUGGCAACUGAUGUUAGCUCAGGGCGAAUCUUCCUCAGCAAAAAAAAAAGAGAGAGAGAGAGGGUCCUUAAAGUUAUUCAACAAGUCUCUAGAAAAACACAAAGAUUUCUUAACUUGGGGUGGGAUGGGGGUGGAGAUUAGUAAGAAGUCACACAAGAACAAACCAGUGGUAGCCCUGGAAUUCCUACAUGAGGGGCUUAGAGGUGGCAAUCCAGUGAGAAGAGGAGUGGAGUGGGGACAGACAGUGGAAGGGUUGGGAGUAACUAUAGUAAAGCAGUGUUUUCCUAGUGAGCACACAGUUUUCAAAUACGCUGACUAUUUAUUUGGGGUGGCUUUGGGAAGAUACUGACAGAAAUUUGGGAUGCUAAAGACUCCCCCAUAAACUACCCCUUGACUCUACCACUGCGACAAGAGAAACAAACUGAGCACCAAGACCUUGGAAAUCAAGACACAGGAGUCCUGGAUUUGGGGGUGGAGGGAGGACUUCAAAUUCAGUCCCCUCCCUCCUUAGUCAUUUUGCUUGUCAGAGGCAGGCAAACACCCCAAGGCUGAGCUGAGGAGUAUCCAUGAGGGUUUUUUGUCCCCGGAAUUCUCUGCAGGGUCUCCUCCCUGGAGGAGGCCGAGGAAGGCAGUGCAGCCCCUUGGACCAAGAACGGCAGGAGAAGGGAAGAGUAAACUGUGGGCUGGAUUGUCCAGUCACAUGAAGCCAUCUCACUGCUUCUUGUCACGUAAUCUCUUUUUCCCUCCUCCUCUAGUCUCUCCCUCUCCUCCUUUCCCCUCCCUUUGCUCUCUUUUGAUUUGGUUAAAAUAGAUGCAAACUCUGGUCUUUUCUAUUUUUAAUACCCAGCCAUUACAUAAUCCACACCGUAAUUGCUGACUUGAAAAACUACUGGCAACAGGAGAAAAUCCCCAGAGUUUUAAACAGGAAAAGGAUUAUUACAGCACAAAAGCCUUUGGCAGUUUUACUGACUAGUAAACCAUCUGUAAUCGUCACUUGCCAGUGGAAGUCACAUGGGCCCUGGGAAACACUCUCCCCACCUCAGGGAAAGCAGGCUGGGGGAAGGGAUGAAUCGCAGCCUCAGCUGGGAGGAGAACACUUUGUGUGGCAACGCAGGGGACAAGGUGGUACUCCUGGAGCUCCCACUGGGCCCAGAAGUGAGGGCUGAAGGAGUCAGCUUCAGGUUACCCCGGGGCCACCUUCUACAGCUUUUGUUUCCUGCAAGGGAGUGAAGUCUCCAGAAUCCAGGACCUUUCCCUCAUCGACUUCCCAGGCGUUCCUAACAGGAUCCAACACUUCCUGAGUGAGCCUGAGUGAGCAUGGACUAUUCCAGUUAAAUAAUUUUAUAAAGACACAGGAGCAAGGAAGACUGCUUGUUAAUCACAGAGACCUGACCCACUCCUCUGCAAGGCUUUCCACAUAUUAGGCCAAUCACCACAAUAGUGAAUUCUUCAAUAAAAUGGUCCAAUAAAAAUAUAAGAAAUAGAGCUUUGGUAAAGGGUUUCACAACCAAAUCGAAAUUAACUAUCUCAUUGAGACAAAAUUCUCUGUAUGUGCUUUAGGGUAUGAAUAGCAUAGGAGAUGCAGAGGGGACAAGGACAACUUUCCCUGAUUUUGCCAAUUCUGCCACAACCCUAACCCCAAUAAUCAAGGAGGGUCAGUCCAAUUUGAGUAACUAUACAUGACAAUUCAUUCAACAGAUGUUUGCUGAAUGCCACACGCUGGGCUGUUGCUGGGGGUAUAACAGUAAGCACAAUCACUGCCCUGGUGGAACUGCCAGGUCAGCGAGGAAGGCAGACAUUAAUCAAAUAUUACAUAAAAACGUCAUUACAAACCAUGGUGAAGGGUGACAAGGGAAAAGGAUAGGGCGCUAGGGGCAUUUAGAACAAGGGGACUUGAUAAGGUCU